rnacentral:rRNA from 1 species
UCCGGCAGCAUACCCCCCUGCAUCCCACUGCUGGCUUGCCUCUGAAGCUAAGCAGGGUUGGUCCUGGAUGGGAGACCAGAUGCUGCUGGAA